rnacentral:rRNA from 1 species
UACGGAGGGUGCAAGCGUUAAUCGGAAUUACUGGGCGUAAAGCGUGCGUAGGCGGUUAUUUAAGUCAGAUGUGAAAGCCCCGGGCUUAACCUGGGAACUGCAUUUGAUACUGGGUAACUAGAGUUUAGUAGAGGAGAGUGGAAUUUCAGGUGUAGCGGUGAAAUGCGUAGAGAUCUGAAGGAACACCAGUGGCGAAGGCGACUCUCUGGACUAAAACUGACGCUGAGGUACGAAAGCGUGGGUAGCAAACAGG